rnacentral:tRNA from 1 species
UCCCUGGUAGCUCAGCUGGUAAAGAAUCUGCCUGCGAGGCAGGAGACCCUGGUUUGAUUCCUGGGCAGGGAA